rnacentral:lncRNA from 1 species
AAUUAACAAGUUUUAUUAUUGACAAGGAAUAAACAAAAUAAGUAAUUACAAUACAAUAGAAUAAAAUAAAUAUAAACUAUCCACAUCUAUUCUUUUUAAAAACAAAAGUUUAUUUUAAAAGGGCUCAACAACUUGACAAAAUUUAGAGCAGAUCUACGCAUAUUUUUCUCUGACUUGAGAAAGAAAAGGGCGCUAGUUUUUAAGCCAUGAUGGUUGGUUGUAUGGAAGAGGACGGUGACGCUAAUGGCUUCGUAGGUGAGAUCUGAACGGGAAAAAAGGAGAGUGGAUGGUGGCGGUGACCGGUGAACGUGGGUUCACCGAAAGGAAAGAAGAGAGAGAAGUGGUAUUGGUUGGUUCCCGAUGAUUUUUGCUAUUUUUGAGAGGAAUUUUUUGGCAAUUUGACCAGGCAGCCCGCUGGGUUGGUUAUCGGCGGGUUUCGCCGAUGGUGUUGGUGACGAGAAAGGGGAAGGGAUAGGCGGAGAUGGUACGGUGAUCACAGGAGUGGUGGUUGACUGUUUUGGGGGUAGGGAAGGUAGGAACGAUGAUGGGAAAACGGAGAUCUGCUCCAGUUUCAGGCAACAAUGCCUUUCCCAGUAAAGAUUCACUGGAGCAGUCCCUGUCGUUCCUCUUUUCUCUCUUCACUCAAAUUUUAGAUUUUUGAUUUCCAUUUUUUUUAGCAAGAUGGGUAUAUCGGAUAUAAUGACGAAAUGGUAAUUCCGGCGAAGUUUCACAGGAAGUUCAGAAUAAUCGAACUAAUUUGGUUCUCGUUACUCUCUGAUUUUUCUGUUUGCAUGUAGUAUGUAUGGUGUAUAAAUAAAAUGGAGGCCUAUGUACACAGAUGUGUGUAACAGUGUGUGUGAAUGUGUUAUAUUCUUAGUGAUGGAUGAAAGUAUAUGUGAACGUGUGCAUUGUUAUUGGUGAAUGUGAAUAUGCAGUGAACACAAAUUGUAACAAGUCUAUUUUCUUUUCUCUGCUAUUUUAUCUGUUUUGAUUUUAACUUAGCA